rnacentral:rRNA from 1 species
UACGAAGGGGGCUAGCGUUGCUCGGAAUCACUGGGCGUAAAGGGUGCGUAGGCGGGUCUUUAAGUCAGGGGUGAAAUCCCGGGGCUCAACCCCGGAACUGCCCUUGAAACUGCAGUGCUAGAAUUCUGGAGAGGCGAGUGGAAUUCCGAGUGUAGAGGUGAAAUUCGUAGAUAUUCGGAAGAACACCAGUGGCGAAGGCGACUCGCUGGACAGACAUUGACGCUGAGGUGCGAAAGCGUGGGGAGCAAACAGG